GACCCGGUGGUGAGGAAGCAGGAGGUCUCCUUAGGCGGGCCCCGGGACAUCCCCGCUAAGCUCAGCCGAAACCUGAGGACAAAGAAACCCUGAUGGGCGCAGGACAGAGACGCGGCGGUCACGACCUGCCCCUCCCGGGAAAGAGGAGCCAGCCACAGCUGUCCUGGGACUGAUGUCCCGCGCCCACCCGUGCGUCUGCACCAAACUGGGUGGAAAAGAUACCUGGCUGCCGACCCCAAACGCGCUCCUCCGCAGGAACUCCCCGGACAACUGAAGGCCGAUGGAAUUUGGCUACUUCCUUUACCAAAACCAGGGGAAAUGGCUUUACUGGGAGGUGUGUGAGGUUCAAGGAGGAAACCUCAAGCUUUCAGGCUUGUUCUGCACUCGCUGCCCCUUUGCUGGGCUGUGUGACAAUGGCUACGUAACACGGACGGCUGCAGCCCCACCCGUGAAGGGCCCACAGGGCUGCUGUGCCCCAGGUGCGGCCGGCGCCGGCUCUGCCCGCGCUGGGAGUAGUGCAGAUGUACGCGCUGGGACCUGUUAGCCUUAUUCCACAGGUUAAUGAUUCACUUAGCACGGUCCCACACUUCCUGCUGCAGGCACCCAAACCUCCUUAUCAAUUGUAGAAGCUCACAGUCAGAUCCAACAUACACAAUGUUAAGCAAAACUGAAGCAUGUGGGAAUUUUUUUCUCUUGUCAAGCUGCUUUGGUCCCUUCAUCACAUUUCCUAAGAGAUGAAAAUACCAGCACAUGGUUUGCCUUGCACACCAAAAGAAAUGAGACUGUGCUUUCCAGAAAUGCCUCAACCCUGUUACCUUUUCUGCUCUCGGGUUUGCCAGCCCAUCUGAUUUCCGCCAAGCCUCGACACAUGCUGGCAAGUGGGUCCCUGCUUCUGAGCUGCUGUUCCUCAUGCUGUUGGUCAAACCAGGUCCUGCUGACUCAUCAAUUACCCGACCUUCACCUGGAAGUGCAGUGAUAGCCAUCAGUCAGAGGCAUGGCUGUUCAAGAGAGACCGUGGUUGGUUAUUGCUGGAAGCCACUACAGAAGCCCGGCACACUGCCUUGCUGAGGGUGGAGAUCAUCUAGUCCCCAGCUCAAGCAGAGUCACCUACACCCGGCUGCUCAGGACUUUCAGGGUGCUCCUUGGCCCUUGGAAAACACCUCAAGGAGGUUGCACUCCCGGCUGGGGACCCAGGGCAGGAGAGGACUCCUGUGAGCCGCAGGACCUGCAGAUGACAAGGGAUGACAAUCUGAUUCCCCAUCAUCUCUGCAGCCAAGACUUGCACUGAAAAUAGCUGAUAGAGCCAGCCCAGCUUCUGCAUUAAGAGUCUGGUAAUUGCAAGACAGAAGAUAAUUCCCCCUUUUUAAUCCCUUCCCCCAUAAAUCUAUAUUCUAGAGGGAUGGCCCUUUCCUUAAGGGACUCCAGGUGCAUGCCACAUCCCAACCCCAGCACGUGGCCUCUCCAGAGUCUGGGGCUGGGCAUGUGGGCCUGGCUGUGCAGGCAGAGCAUGCCCUGCCUGUCCUUGCCCAGGGUGGGCUCAGUACCCAUGGACACCAGUGCAACCCCAGCCUGAAACAGCGCUCCCCCCCUAGAGCCAGGGCUACAGGGCAUGGGCGCAUUGAGCCCACCACCCUGGCCUCUGAUCCCAGGUGGCAGCCAGGGAGCAGACAGAUGCCGCAAAAGCAGCAGAAGAGCCUGACUCCCACCACAUCCCAGUGCCACCGGCUGAUGGAAAGACUGAGCUCUGGUCCUGCCAGCCCAGCCACGCCAAUCCAGCAGACUGGGGCGGAGGUGCUGGGGGCACUCCUGGCUGCUCUGUGCUGAGGGUGCUGUCCUGGUUUUAGCUGAGAGGGUUGAUUUUCUUCAUAGUAGCUAGUGUGAGGAUAUGUUUUGGAUUUGUGCUGGAGACAGUGUUGAUAAUAUAGAGAUGUUUUUGUUCUAUGGACUUAUUGUUGAGCAGUGUUUACACGGGGCCAAGGCCUUUUCUGCUUCUUGCACUGCCCUGCCAGCGGGAUGGCUGGGGGUGCACAAGAAGUUGGGAGGAGACAGACAGGACAGGUGACCCAAACUGACCAAAGGGAUAUUCCAUACCAUAUGACGUCAUGCUCAGUUUAUAAGGAGCUUGGGGGGAAGAGAAGGGGGGGGCGGCGUUCGGAGCGAUGGCGUUUGUCUUCCCAAGUAACCGUUACGCGUGACAGAGCCCUGCUUCCCUGGAGAUGGCUGAACACCUGCCUGCCCAUGGGGAGUGGUGAAUGAAUUCCUUGCUUUGCUUUGCUUGUGCGCGCAGCUUUUGCUUUACCUAUUAAACUGUCUUUAUCUCAACCCACGAGUUUUCUCACUUUAACUUUUCCAGUUCUCUCCCCCAUCCCGAUGGGGAGGGGAGCGAGUGAGCGGCUGCGUGGUGCUUAGCUGCCGGCUGGGGUAAAACCACGACAGUCCUUUUUGGCGCCCAACAUGGGGCUCGAAGGGUUCGAGAUAAUGACAGAUUUGAUUGGAAUGUGCUAGAUUGAAUUUAUAGUUGUUAUUAGCUAUUAAUUGGCAGGCUCCUGUGCUUGCCAUGGGGCUUGCUUGCCUUACUGUAUAUUAGAGGCUAGUGCUCUUUAGCGGCUGCUUUUUGCUUUCGCUGCUCGCUGUACUGCUGUACUGCUUAUCAUCUUACUGUGCUGUGCCUGGGAACGUUUUGAUAACAGCAAUGGCGAUGUGCCUGGCCUGGCAGAUGGCCAGGGCACCGCUGCUGUUUCUGUGCUGCUGUCCUGGACAGGCUGGAACUCCUGUGUGCACUCGAGUCAAAGGGACUGUGACCUGUGGAUGAGUCCACGUCGGAGCAGGACACCCCAAAGCGUCUGUGGCUGUGGUUGCAUCUGUGCCGCAGCAGGUAUAUCUUGAAGUGUCUGGGGCCGUGGUUGCGUCUGUGCCGCAGCAGGUAUAUCUCGAAGUGUCUGGGGCCGUGGUUGUGUCUGUGCUGCAGCAGGUAUAUCUCGAAGUGUCUGGGGCCGUGGUUGUGUCUGUGCCGCAGCAGGUAUACCUCUGGAAGGAUUGUGAGCCAAGGAUAAGUCCAUGCUGGAGAAGGUACACCUCGAAGCAUCUGUGGCAAGGAUAAGUCCAUGCUGCAGCAGGUACACCUUGAAGCAUCAGUGGCUGUGCAUGGGGUCAUGCUGGAACAUUUCAAAGUGUGUGGCUAUAGACGAGCCCAUGACAGGGCAGGUUUAUUUCUAAGAGGACUGAAGUGACUGUGACUGUGGACAAGGCCACGCUGGAGCAAGUAUAUCUAUGAAGGCAUUGUGGCCCAUGGAGAAGGCCAUGCUGGAACAGGUGCACCUCGAAGUGACUGUGGCUGUGGAUAAGUCUAUGCCACAGCAGGUGUACCCCUGGAGAGACUGUGGCUCAUGGAUAAGGCUCCACUUGGAGCAGGUACAUCCCUAAGGGACUGCAGUCUGUGGAUAAGUUCAAGCCGGAGCAGGGGCAAGGGGAGGUGUUCAUUGCAAUGGUAAACUUGAUGGUCUGACUCGAAGGGACCAGGGGUGGAGAUUGUAAUGGAAAUACCUUUAAAUUGUUGUAACCCAUGAUUUGAGUUGCAUGUUACAGGAAUUACUGUAGCAGAAAUCACCUGAACCAAUGGAGAACGAGCCUUACAAGAAGCAGCGCAAGUGCAGCAGUGGACCUGACCUGAGCUGGUUUUGGUGCCCAGUAACUCCACACGUCAACCACCUCUCCUGUUCUGAGUGACCACCAUGGUGGAUGGAGCCCAAGGUUGUGGACCAAGUCAACCCAAUGGAUAUUUUGUGGACAUUUAUGGACAUUUUAAAAGGGUGGUCCACAGACUAAGGGAAUGAUAUCAGCAUAUUAUAUCAAGGGAUGAGAAGGGUGGUGGUGCUUAAUGAGGAUGUAUUGAAUUGUGUGGGACCUGAGCAUGACAUAAAUAGUAUGGAACAAGGGGUGGAUAAUGUCCUGGUUUUAGCUGAGAGGGUUGAUUUUCUUCAUAGUAGCUAGUGUGAGGAUAUGUUUUGGAUUUGUGCUGGAGACAGUGUUGAUAAUAUAGAGAUGUUUUUGUUCUAUGGACUUAUUGUUGAGCAGUGUUUACACGGGGCCAAGGCCUUUUCUGCUUCUUGCACUGCCCUGCCAGCGGGAUGGCUGGGGGUGCACAAGAAGUUGGGAGGAGACAGACAGGACAGGUGACCCAAACUGACCAAAGGGAUAUUCCAUACCAUAUGACGUCAUGCUCAGUUUAUAAGGAGCUUGGGGGAAGAGAAGGGGGGGGCGGCGUUCGGAGCGAUGGCGUUUGUCUUCCCAAGUAACCGUUAUGCGUGACAGAGCCCUGCUUCCUUGGAGAUGGCUGAACACCUGCCUGCCCAUGGGGAGUGGUGAAUGAAUUCCUUGCUUUGCUUUGCUUGUGCGCGCAGCUUUUGCUUUACCUAUUAAAAUGUCUUUAUCUCAA